UACGGAGGGUGCAAGCGUUAUCCGGAUUUACUGGGCUUAAAGGGUGCGUAGGCGGGCUUUUAAGUCAGUGGUGAAAUCUCCGGGCUCAACCCGGAAAUUGCCAUUGAUACUAUUAGUCUUGAAUUAAGUUGAGGUGGGCGGAAUGUGUCAUGUAGCGGUGAAAUGCUUAGAUAUGACACAGAACACCGAUUGCGAAGGCAGCUCGCUGAACUUAUAUUGGCGCUGAGGCACGAAAGCGUGGGGAUCAAACCGG
rnacentral:rRNA from 1 species